CAACCCCUAAGCACAGCUUAUUGUUGGGACUCUACGGCUUCGUAGUUCCCCAAAGACAUUGGCGGAGUGGCAGCAGUCCUCUGAGCGUAGUAAUUCUUUAUCUCGCUUUUGUUAGGCGCUGCCCCCCCGGCCGUAAAACCCCCAAUUUUUUCU
rnacentral:misc_RNA from 1 species